AUUACGAUUUUCGAUUCACUCAAUUAAAUUUCAUUAAAAUACCCCUCUAGAAAAUUCUUUGGAGACGCCUAUUUAAUCGCCUAGGUGCCUAUUUUCGCAGCGAAGCAAGAGGAAAGCACCGCGCAUGUUUCUAUCGGAUCGAUACGAAUCGAUUUCCGAUAACAUUGAAGAUCAGUUGGUCAGGAAACGGCUCGAAGGACGGAUGGCGCGCCGCUAGUGAGGUGAUUCUCACUUUUAAGUGACGGGAUUGAGACAAAUUUUCGAUGGAAAUCAAAUAAUUAGAAGGAAAUCAAGCGUCAGCUAAUCCCAUCUACAAAACUAGAUAACCAAAGUUAAACAUCUCUUUGGACUUCUUCACAUAACAGAAGUGGAUAUUCCGGCGUGCCUGCCUUGUUUCAAUCCCGUAACUUAGUUAUUUAGUCACACAACGUGACUCUAUCACGUUGAUUAUGUACUACCUAGUUAGAUUGCUAGCCACUCUGUGAUGGUUUAUCCCUAGAGUGGGCUGUUUUUGUUGGAUAAUACACCAUACCGGAUUUUAUUACAACCAGCAUCUUCACCCAGGACCUUGCAGUAGGACUUACUCACCACAGCAGCCAACCGUUUUAUCGUGCCAAAAGGGAAUUUCCUAAGGAAUUCAUCUCUAUGGACUUGCAACCCUACUUUUAACCGACUGUUGUGUAAAAGCUAAGUUUAUUUACUUUUUCAUUAUUUACUUUUGGGUAAGAUAUAUUUGCUACAUUGUAAACUUUUCGUAUGCAUACGAUUAGGAAGAGUACAUAUAUUUUCGUGAUAGACAGGGUUUUAGGUCGUUGGUUUUUUUUUGAUUUAAUAUAAGUAGUAGUUUUAAAUAAAUAAAAUCAGGUCUUGUUUAAUAAUCAUCAAUAAUUGUAUCUUAAAAUUUAAUAGGGAAUCGGGUUGUAAAAUUUUGUCGCGGAUUUUAAAUAGGGAAUACGUCUCGUAGGUUUUUUUUUGUAAAAUAUAUAAAGAGUCACUGACCAACUCAUUUAUAUAGACCUUUUUGCUAUUCCAACGGACUUUUGAUUUGGAUUUUGAUUUUAAUACUUUUGCUUGGCCAGUGAUAGUGGAUAAUUGCUUGUUGAGUGGCCUUUGCGGUCCUAUUUUAUCUUUUCUCCAUCCACUAUCACUGUUAUUACGUUGCGUUAUAUGUAAAGUAUUAUUAUUUAAUAUUUAUUAUUAAUAUAUUUGUAUGUAUUAA
rnacentral:lncRNA from 1 species